AAAAAUGUUCAUUUUUACAACGAUGAACAAGCUGGUCGGAACUAGCUAAAAACAGUUGGCCCCAAGAAAGAAACAUAGCUGUUUUCGGUGAAACAGUGGCACAAUCGAAAAACUGAUGCAAAAAAUGGACUCGGGUGGUUUUUGUUGUGCAGAGGGGGUUCAAAUGGAAAGUUGACUGAAAAUGAGGUGCAAAUAAGUAAAAUCCGAAAUAAUGGCAACUGCAGUAGCAAGAUGAGGGGUGCAGAUAUCAAUCUGGCCCAACAAAAGAAAAAUAAGCGGUAGCAGUCUGGUCCAAACUUAUUUUUCUAUCAUUUAGUGUUCUAAAAAAAGUUAAUCACUAAUUCUAUUUAUCC
rnacentral:lncRNA from 1 species